AUAUGUUUAUAUGUAUAAUUAUACUUUGCUUACUUUUGUUUAUUGGUUCUUUCUAGGAAUGUGGACAAGUCAUUCUUCAAGCAAUAUUUCUGCUACUAAAUAUAAUGUUCUCUUGGUUCUAGAAUGUAGUAUUUAAAAUAGAAUUUUAAAAGACAGGCAAGUUAGAUGAGGUCUAACAUGCCUAAAGAGAGAAAGAAAUUAAACUGCAGAUGAAAACAAGCAGGUACCUAUUUAAUCCCUCUGUUUCUCCUUCAGUGGGUGGUUAGAUGGGGCAAUGAAGGAGUAAAAACUUGAACCUUUAUAAGGGCUUUGCCAUGGUAUUAUCUUCUCUUCCCAGUCAGAAAUCCAAGUGAGGUGGGCAGGCAGUUCUUUCACUCCAAAGUGUUUUGCACUCAAGCUAUUCCUCCAGUCCCAACUGCCUCUGCUGCAGCCAGUCCUGUCUCUGUCCAAUCUCCACACUCCACUGCCCAGGCUCUGCACUCCUCAGCCUCAGGUUCCAAGUCUCAAUGCCAAGGCCUUGCACUGCUCUCAGGGCGCUCUGCAAUGAUAGUUUGGAAAGAGAUGCAGAAAUUUCCUGUUACUCUGCUGCUGUAUUAUCUCCAUCCCAAGAAUGUCAAGAGAAUUAAAGGGGAAAAAUGUGAAGGAAACUGGCCUAGCCAUACCAAACUUCAAAUUAUAUCACAAAAUGGUCUUUAAAAAAUCUGGUCCUGGCUAAGAAACUGAGUAGUGGGUCAGUGGAAUAGAUGACAUACACAAUGCGCAGGAGGAAAUGACAUUGUAAUCUAGUGCUUGAUCAGUUUAUUUAAAUAUGAAAAGCAGUGUAUUAUAUGUGUGUGUGUGUGUGUGUGUGUGUGUGAUCAUGGGGUCUUCUACUAUUUAUUACAGAAUAAUUGAUGGGCAUAUGUUAUAGACAAGAUCAUUAACAACAACCAAAAAUUAACUAUGUUAAGCUUUUACUCAUCUUAGGUAUACUGACCUUAGGACUUUUCAGAAGUUGCCAUUUUUCCAUCUUUUGUACCAUACAUUUAUUGUAGUAUUGACAGAUAACACAUGUUGAUUGUUUAUUUGAUUCCAUAGUAUAUUGAUAAACUCCUGUGCACAAUAUCAUUGCAACUUUACCUUGCAUUGUUUUGAGGAAUUAUGGCAGUAAAAAUGCACAUCAUCCAACUGUUUCCCUAUCAGCACUGCACACAAGGUGGGAGUAUGAGGUUGUUUUGUAAAUCACAGAUAUUAUCCAAAAGCCUAAAUGGUUUAGACAAAUUGAGG
rnacentral:lncRNA from 1 species